GGGGGGAGGCCGGAUCCUGGGCCCUGUCCCGGCGCCCUGUGCUCCGAGGCCUGUGCUGUUGGAUUCGCGCUCCCGCCCCGCAGCCCCCU
rnacentral:pre_miRNA from 1 species